rnacentral:rRNA from 1 species
UACGUAGGGUGCAAGCGUUAAUCGGAAUUACUGGGCGUAAAGCGUGCGCAGGCGGCUUUGCAAGACAGAUGUGAAAUCCCCGGGCUUAACCUGGGAACUGCAUUUGUGACUGCAUGGCUGGAGUGCGGCAGAGGGGGAUGGAAUUCCAGGUGUAGCAGUGAAAUGCGUAGAGAUCUGGAGGAACACCGAUGGCGAAGGCAGCCCCCUGGGCGUAACACUGACGCUCAUGCACGAAAG